AGACCUUUUCGGUCUCAGGAGUCGGGUCCAGUGGAUGUGAGAUGGAGAGAGUUCGAGAGAAGGAGGAAAGAAGAGGCGCUUGAAAUAAUGGGGACGCGGGGGAUGCUUGUCCGCACAGGAGGCAGCCGGGGACGCCUACCCUCCGCGCUCGGUGGCUCAGGAGCCAGGUGGAUGGAGCGGAGGCUGUUAUUCAGGUCUGGCUUUGAUCGGAGGAUGGGAUAAGAAUGGUGAGUGGAAAGAUCUAUAGGGCAUGUAAGGGGCUUCCUUCUACAGUAACUUCUCUCUCUGGAAAAGACAACAUGGUCAAAGGCCACCGUUCAGACACCGAACAUGAUUUUGGUUUUGUUUUUUUGGCCCCACCGCGAAGCCUGCAGGGAUCUUAGUUCUCCCGGCCCUUAUCAGCGCCCCCUGCAGUAGAAGCGCGGAAUCUUAACCACUGGACCACCAGGGAAGUCCCUGAACAUCGUUUAAUUUAAAAGUUAUGAAUGAAAAGACAACCUUGCCCUGGUAAUCAGGACCCAGGCAGAUUCUGAUUUAUUAACCAUAAGACUUUGAAUUUGAUGGGUCUUAAAGGAAAACACCUGAUGAAAGAGAAGCUCCUGGUACCACCCUGCCUUCUGAUACAACAGCCCUUUGGGGGAGAAUCAGGCAGACACUGCACUAUUUUCAAAAGUCACCAAAAUGGCUUGUGUUGGGGACUCAGCACAGGGCCUCUCUGCUUGGUUACAUCAUUGCACCAGAUAUUUCUGAGACCCCCAUCAUGUUGUUCCCCAAGUUAGGGAAGGACUAAGCAGUCCGGCUGUGUCCAAGAGGAGCCAUCAACAAGGUCACACCCCCCCAGGAGGACAGAGGCCCUCACCAUCUGGCUGCAAAAAAGGGGGCUAGUGGGUGACCGGUGCCCUUACUAGCUUUUCUUUGGUCCCACAAGGGGCUUCUUUUCAUCUUAAAUGCCUGUUAUUAAACGGUCUGUUAUUAAACC